UACGUAGGGUGCAAGCGUUAAUCGGAAUUACUGGGCGUAAAGCGUGCGCAGGCGGUUAUGUAAGACAGUUGUGAAAUCCCCGGGCUCAACCUGGGAACUGCAUCUGUGACUGCAUAGCUAGAGUACGGUAGAGAGGGAUGGAAUUCCGCGUGUAGCAGUGAAAUGCGUAGAUAUGCGGAGGAACACCGAUGGCGAAGGCAAUCCCCUGGACCUGUACUGACGCUCAUGCACGAAAGCGUGGGGAGCAAACGAGGAU
rnacentral:rRNA from 1 species